rnacentral:rRNA from 1 species
GGCUGUCGUCAGCUCGUGCUGUGAAGUGUCGGGUUAAGUCCCUCAACGAGCGCAACCCUUGUCGCUAGUUGCUAACAGGUAAUGCUGAGGACUCUAGCGAGACUGCCGGUGUUAAACCGGAGGAAGGUGGGGAUGACGUCAAGUCCUCAUGGCCUUUAUGCCCUGGGCUNNACACGUGCUACAAUGGUAGGUACAGAACGAAGCAAGAUCGCAAGAUGGAGCAAAUCGCUAAAACCUGCCCCAGUUCGGAUUGGAGGCUGCAAUUCGCCUCCAUGAAGUUGGAAUCGCUAGUAAUCGCGGAUCCAUGACGC